GCAGACGGCCACUGCGCUAACCCAAUAUUAAAGGCCCAGUGCAGGCGUUUUUAUGUCAAUAUCAAAUCGUUUCUGGGUAACAAUUAAGUACCUUACUGUGAUACUUUUUAUCAAUAAAAGUCUGUGUGUUUAAGCUAGAGACUCGGGAGCGGUCUUUUUUUGUGAGAUGAGUGAGGAUCUUCUGAGCUGUUUCUCUCACAAAAACAUCUGGAAAGAUCAUACGGUUUGAGUUACAAACUAUUUAACCUAACCCUCAUUCACAAACCUAACCUUCACCAUUAAUUAAUUUUGACCGCUAUGCCUAAAUUAAGUUUUUCUUUUGCUGGUCGACUAUCCACUUCCGACAGGUCAUGGACUCUAUAGUCUCUACUAACAGACUGUCGAAUAGCUGGCCAGCACGCACACAAGAUUGAUGAUGGACUGUAGAGCUUGGAGGAUCGGCUUACCCUCAGCCCUGUGACACUGGCUUCUACUGUGGUCAGACUGGCCUGGAAGCCCCCAGUGGCCUCUGUACCCCAGGCUAUUUCUGCUCCAGGGGUUCCACGACCCCUCACGCCUCACUCUGCCCCCCUGGACACUACUGCCCCCAGGGCACACCUCUCCCUCUACCUUGCCCUCCUGGAACCCUGAAGGGUCGAUCAGGCGGGUCCACAGUGGACGAUUGCCAGCCUUGCCCCCCUGGUCAUUACUGCGAUCAGAUAGGCUUGGCCGGGCCCAGCGGUCAGUGUGCUGCUGGCUACUACUGUCCUGGGGGACAGAGCACUGAUAGACCGUCACAACAUGUGUGUGGAGUUGGUCAUUUCUGCAAGGAGGGUAGCGUGAGAGAGAGAGCCUGUGCCCCAGGCAGCUACCAGCCUAGUGAGGGUCAGCACCGAUGUGAGGUGUGUCCUUCUGGCUUCUACUGUCUUGAAGAAGGAAGGACACACUUGGUUCCAUGCGGAAGAGGAUUCUAUUGUCCACGUGGAACAGCCAAUCAGCAUCCUUGUCCAUCCGGGACCUAUGGAAACUUAUCAGGAUUGGCUGACGAAUCGGAAU
rnacentral:lncRNA from 1 species